rnacentral:lncRNA from 1 species
GCCCUUUUACUUGUGAUGUAUUCGCAGAUUUUAAUAAUAACAAAGUACCUAUGUUUUUCUCACCCCACUGGUGCCCCGGAACGGGAGGCGUAGACGCUUUUGCAUACGACUGGUCUUUGUAUAAUUGCUGGAUUGUUCCGCCAAUUAGAUUGAUAAGUAGGUCAGUAUUACAUUUGUCAAAGUGUCAAGGUAAAGGUGUAUUGGUUACGCCGAAAUGGACAUCGUCAGUUUUUUGGCCAAUCAUAUGGUCUUUAAAAGAAAAUUCGUUUCAUUCAUUCGUUAAAAAAUUCAUAGAAUACAAUCAGCCCAGAGGAUUUUUUCAAAAAGGAUCAGAUCCUAAUAGUAUUUUCGUCGCAGAUCGUCUGUCUUUUAAUGUGCUAGUAUUAUACUUGGAUUUUACUUCCUAACAUGUUUCAGUUAUAUAACCGACGUAAUAGUGAUCAGCAAACACACCCGUUAUGGGUAUUGUUAGUUUUGCACCCUGUGAUGGGAUUUUCCGUGACGGAAUAAAAUUGCAAUCAUAUAUUUAACCCGUUAUGGGUCUUCCCGUGAAGGGAUAUUGAAAAGAAGGAUUUUCCGUGAAGGAGUAAAAAUCUUAUCCAUAUAUAACCUGUUAUGGGUUUUUCCCGUGAAGGGACAUUGAAAGGAGGC